rnacentral:misc_RNA from 1 species
CUCUAUUCCAGCAGCCGCGGUAAUACGUUCCCGGGCCUUGCUCCUCACCGCCCGUCACAUCACGAAAGUCGGUUGCACUAGAAGUCGGUGGGCCAACCCGCAAGGGAGGCAGCCGCCUAAAGUGUGAUCGGUAAUUGGGGUGAAGUCGUAACAAGGUAGCUGUAGGAGAACCUGCGGCUGGAUCACCUCCUUUCUAAGGAGCAUUCUCCGCCUCGGAUCCAAACGAGGUCGUGAAGGCGACACCGUCUAGGUGUCGACCGAGUUUGCCCUAGGUCGACAGGAAUCGCCGUACGUUGACCUGCUUGUAUUUCCUGUUCAGUUUUCAAAGAG